GACGAACGCUGGCGGCGUGCUUAACACAUGCAAGUCGAACGGAAAGGCCCUGCUUUUGUGGGGUUCUCGAGUGGCGAACGCGUGAGUAACACGUGAGUAACCUGCCCUUGACUUUGGGAUAACUUCAGGAAACGGGGGCUAAUACCGGAUAGGAGCUCCUGCUGCAUGGUGGGGGUUGGAAAGUUUAGGCGGUUGGGGAUGGACUCGCGGCUUACCAGCUUGUUGGUGGGGUAGUGGCUUACCAAGGCUUUGGCGGAUAGCCGGCCUGAGAGGGUGGCCGGCGUCAAUGGGACUGCGAGACGGAGCAGUCUGCUACGGGAGGCAGCAGUGGGGAAUAUUGCACAGUGGGCGGAAGCCUGUUGCAGAAGCGCCGCGGGCGGGAUGACGGCCUGUGGGUUGUAAACCGCUUUCGCCUGAGACGAAGCGUGAGUGACGGUAAUGGGUAAAGAAGCACCGGCUAACUACGUG
rnacentral:rRNA from 1 species